GGACUACCGGGGUAUCUAAUCCUGUUUGCUCCCCACGCUUUCGCACCUCAGCGUCAGUAUCGGGCCAGUGAGCCGCCUUCGCCACUGGUGUUCUUGCGAAUAUCUACGAAUUUCACCUCUACACUCGCAGUUCCACUCACCUCUCCCGAACUCGAGAUCCUCAGUAUCAAAGGCAGUUCUGGAGUUGAGCUCCAGGAUUUCACCCCUGACUUAAGGACCCGCCUACGUGCGCUUUACGCCCAGUGAUUCCGAGCAACGCUAGCCCCCUUCGUAUUACCGCGGCUGCUGGCAC
rnacentral:rRNA from 1 species